rnacentral:rRNA from 1 species
AUGUGGUGCGACGUUUGUGGUCAGCGAGCGGUUUCCCUGAGCAGUGUGGGCUGCGGGCAACUGGGUUGUGCGGCGUUGCUGCUCGAGGGGAGCGGUGGUAUGUCGGGGCGGCGGCCCCAGAAGGCGGUGCCGGUUGAUUGCGCUGGGUGCGACGGAGCGGUGGAUGUCGGGGCGGCGGCCCCAAGAGAAUCACUAUGGCGACCAGACUUCUGUGGCAACAAUGAUGGUGGGAGUGAUGUCGGCGACGCGGCAAUGGUUGCGGUAGUCGGCUCUUCUUCGGCGUGUCCACGGUUUUGCCUUAGUUUGCUUGUAGCUGUGGAGUCGAAGCUGCGGCGGCGGGGCCCUGUGGUGUACGAUGACUGGCGGUAG